UAGUCCACGCCGUAAACGAUGAUAACUAGCCGUUGGAUUUAUUCCAGUGGCGCAGCUAACGCAUUAAGUUAUCCGCCUGGGGAGUACGGCCGCAAGGCUAAAACUCAAAUGAAUUGACGGGGACCCGCACAAGCGGUGGAGCAUGUGGUUUAAUUCGAUGCAACGCGAAAAACCUUACCUACACUUGACAUACUUGGAAUCCUUUAGAGAUAAAGGAGUGCCUUUUGGAAUCAAGAUACAGGUGCUGCAUGGCUGUCGUCAGCUCGUGUCGUGAGAUGUUGGGUUAAGUCCUAUAACGAGCGCAACCCUUACCCUUAUUUGCCAGCGCGUAAUGGCGGGAACUAUAGGGAGACUGCCGGGUGAAACCCGGAGGAAGGCGGGGACGAGGGUCAAGUCAUCAUGGCCCUUAUGGAUUGGGGCUACACACGUGCUACAAUGGGGAAGUACAGAGGGGACGCUAAAGCG
rnacentral:rRNA from 1 species